CAUGCACCAGAUGAAAAUGUCCACAACAACCUGUGCAUCAAUAUUCAGAUUAGCACUGUUCAAAACAGAAAGGAGAAGCAGUACAAGUGACCAUGGAAGGAGAGCAGAUCCAGGAAGUCCCAUACAGCUGAGGCAAAGGGAGAGUGAAGACCUGGGUUAGAAUCAUGAAGGCCGUACAAGUUUACAUUCCCACCAACAAUGGAGGAGGUCUCCCUUUUCUCUACAUCCUCUCCAGAAUGAGCUGUCACUUAUGUUUUUAUCCUGACAGGUAUAAGAUGGAAUCUCAGAUUUGCUCUGAUGGCUAUGGUUGUUGAACAUCUUCUUAAGUGUUUCUCGGCCAUUUGAGAUUCUUCUGUUGAGAAUUCUCUAUUUAGGUACCCUGUAUUUUUGUUUUUGUUUUGUUUUUCGAGGCAGGGUUUCUCUGUGCAGCUUUAGCUUUAGACCAGGUUGGCUUCAAACUCACAGAGAUCUGCUUGCCUUUGCCUCCUGAGUGUUAGAAUUAAAGGCAUGUGCUACCACCACCUGGCUCUAUACCCCUUUUUAAAUUGCAUUAAAUAUCAGAGAACUCACAUG
rnacentral:lncRNA from 1 species